rnacentral:rRNA from 1 species
GGAAUCGCUAGUAAUCGCGAAUCAGAAUGUCGCGGUGAAUACGUUCCCGGGUCUUGUACACACCGCCCGUCACUACCAUGGGAGUCGGAAAUGCCCGAAGUCAGUGACCCAACCGUAAGGAGGGAGCUGCCGAAGGUGGAGCCGGUAACUGGGGUGAAGUCGUAACAAGGUAUC